GCCCAAUAGCUAGCCCAACCCCCUAAAGUAAAACAACCCACGUCUAUAACCCCACAUACACUAAACACAAUAAAACAAACCAUUUUACCCUCUUAGUAUGGGAGACAGAACAGAGAAGUCGGCGCCAUAAAGAAAGUACCGCAAGGGAAAGCUGAAAGAGAAAUGAAAUAACUCAGUUCAAAGCUCAAAGAAGCAGAGACUAAACCUCGUAUU
rnacentral:rRNA from 1 species